rnacentral:rRNA from 1 species
UACAGAGGUGGCAAGCGUUAUUCGGAAUUAUUGGGUGUAAAGGGCAGGUAGGCGGCCUGUUAAGUGAGGGGUGAAAUCCCACGGUUCAAUCGUGGAACUGCCUUUCAAACUGACGGGCUUGAGUGUGACAGAGGAAGAUGGAAUUCUCGGUGUAAGGGUGAAAUCUGUAGAUAUCGGGAAGAACACCAACGGCGAAGGCAAUCUUCUGGGUCACCACUGACGCUGAACUGCGAAAGCUAGGGGAGCAAACAGAAUUAGAUACUCUGGUAGUCCUAGCCGUAAACGAUGAGUACUAGGUGUUGGGUCCUUCGGGACUCGGUGCCGAAGCUAACGCAUUAAGUACUCCACCUGGGGACUACGGUCGCAAGGCUAAA